GCGUGUAGGCUGGUUUUCCAGGCAAAUCCGGAAAAUCAAGGCUGAGGCGUGAUGACGAGGCACUACGGUGCUGAAGCAACAAAUGCCCUGCUUCCAGGAAAAGCCUCUAAGCAUCAGGUAACAUCAAAUCGUACCCCAAACCGACACAGGUGGUCAGGUAGAGAAUACCAAGGCGCUUGAGAGAACUCGGGUGAAGGAACUAGGCAAAAUGGUGCCGUAACUUCGGGAGAAGGCACGCUGAUAUGUAGGUGAAGUCCCUCGCGGAUGGAGCUGAAAUCAGUCGAAGAUACCAGCUGGCUGCAACUGUUUAUUAAAAACACAGCACUGUGCAAACACGAAAGUGGACGUAUACGGUGUGACGCCUGCCCGGUGCCGGAAGGUUAAUUGAUGGGGUCAGCGCAAGCGAAGCUCUUGAUCGAAGCCCCGGUAAACGGCGGCCGUAACUAUAACGGUCCUAAGGUAGCGAAAUUCCUUGUCGGGUAAGUUCCGACCUGCACGAAUGGCGUAAUGAUGGCCAGGCUGUCUCCACCCGAGACUCAGUGAAAUUGAACUCGCUGUGAAGAUGCAGUGUACCCGCGGCAAGACGGAAAGACCCCGUGAACCUUUACUAUAGCUUGACACUGAACAUUGAGCCUUGAUGUGUAGGAUAGGUGGGAGGCUUUGAAGUGUGGACGCCAGUCUGCAUGGAGCCGACCUUGAAAUACCACCCUUUAAUGUUUGAUGUUCUAACGUGGACCCGUGAUCCGGGUUGCGGACAGUGUCUGGUGGGUAGUUUGACUGGGGCGGUCUCCUCCUAAAGAGUAACGGAGGAGCACGAAGGUUGGCUAAUCCUGGUCGGACAUCAGGAGGUUAGUGCAAUGGCAUAAGCCAGCUUGACUGCGAGCGUGACGGCGCGAGCAGGUGCGAAAGCAGGUCAUAGUGAUCCGGUGGUUCUGAAUGGAAGGGCCAUCGCUCAACGGAUAAAAGGUACUCCGGGGAUAACAGGCUGAUACCGCCCAAGAGUUCAUAUCGACGGCGGUGUUUGGCACCUCGAUGUCGGCUCAUCACAUCCUGGGGCUGAAGUAGGUCCCAAGGGUAUGGCUGUUCGCCAUUUAAAGUGGUACGCGAGCUGGGUUUAGAACGUCGUGAGACAGUUCGGUCCCUAUCUGCCGUGGGCGCUGGAGAACUGAGGGGGGCUGCUCCUAGUACGAGAGGACCGGAGUGGACGCAUCACUGGUGUUCGGGUUGUCAUGCCAAUGGCACUGCCCGGUAGCUAAAUGCGGAAGAGAUAAGUGCUGAAAGCAUCUAAGCACGAAACUUGCCCCGAGAUGAGUUCUCCCUGACCCUUUAAGGGUCCUGAAGGAACGUUGAAGACGACGACGUUGAUAGGCCGGGUGUGUAAGCGCAGCGAUGCGUUGAGCUAACCGGUACUAAUGAACCGUGAGGCUUAACCUU
rnacentral:rRNA from 1 species